GUCCCCGUAGCUCAACCGGAUAGAGCACAGGUUUCCUAAACCUGGGGUUGUGAGUUCGAUUCUCGCCGGGGACGCCA
rnacentral:tRNA from 1 species